rnacentral:lncRNA from 1 species
GCCGGGCGGUGCAGAGGGGCGGGGCCGCGGGGCCUGGAAGCAGCCUCCGGGAUCUGCAAGUCUGGAAAGGCCACGUUGUGGACCUUGGCGCAGAGGUUAUGGGGGCGACCCGGAGCGGAUGGUUUCAGGAAAACUAGAACCCACCCUCAUGGCCUGAACAACUGGAGAGAAGAGGAUCGCAGCAAUUUAAAGCCAGCGGCAAGGAUCACAGUCCUGGGGUCAGGUGACCAAAGCCAGUUUUUCAGCCCUUAACAAGAACCUGGCUUCACCCAGCCAAACAUGAGUUAACGUAUCCAUUUUACACACGAACAAACUGAGGCGCAGAGAUGAUCACAGCUUGUUGGUGGCAAACUCCGCUAGGGCCUUCUCUGCUACCCUAAGGAGGUCCGACCGUAUGUUUUGGACCCCUUAACUCGGGAUACCGAUAAACGAAAAUUAAUAGGGUGUUGGAUGUUUUAAAUGUGUGCGGGAAUGUCAUUAUAUUGGCUAGAAUCAAACCUUAUUUAGACUUGUUUUGCACUUUUGUACACUUUAGUAAUUUUUAGUUUUAAUCAUAAGGGAGUUAAAGGCGAACACAACUGGUAUUUUUUUUUUUUUUUUUUUUUUUUUGAGACAGGGUCUCGCUCGGUCACCCAGGCUGGAGUGUAAUGCUGCGAUCUCGGCUCACUGCAACGUCCGCCUCCCGGGUUCAAGAGAUUCUCCUGCCUCAGCCUCCCGAAUAGCUGGGCGUGCCACCACGCCCGGCUGAUUUUUGUAUUUUUAGUAGAGACGGGGUUUCACCAUGUUGGCCAGGUUGGUCUCGAACUCCUGACCUCAAAUGAUCCGCCCGCCUUGGCCUCCCAGAAUGCUGGGAUUACAGGCGUGAGCCACCGCGCCAGGCCGACAACUGGUAUCUUAAGGCUUAGGGCCUCUGGUAGAAGUGAGCUCCACCUCCCUUCCUGUGUAGAAGGUAAAUGCAUUCAUUCAUUCAGUGAAUCGAGCAUGCAUGAAAUCGUUUGCGCACACCCAGAAGCCCACCUGCGAGCCACAGGAGCAGCCAUUCCAGGAAGCCAAGCUAUAAUGGGAGACGCAAGGAAUGGAGGCGGAACUCCUGUUUUUAAGUCCUAGCUCCAACACUAGCCUUGUCAGCCUGUAAUUCUGAAUUACUGGGCGCCUCUGAGGCUUCUUGUCUCAUCUGCAAAUCAGGAACAACGGCAUAGAGUGGUGAAUGCAUCAAGUGGGAUGAUGUCUGCAAGUACGCAACCCGCUUACACAAAGAAUUAUCUUUCCAUAACCUUCCCUGGACCCCUAGGGCCAGCAGGGAAUCAUAGCCUCCCUUUGUUUCUAGAGCCCGGAAAUCACUGGGUUUUCCCUCUGUCUGGAGCAGAGCUGGGUGCGAAUUUGACCAACGGGUGGCAGGAACAGCCGGAGCAGGAUAUUAAGGAGCGGGCGAGCUUGCCAAGCAUGCGCAGUAGCGGCGGGUUGGUUUGAGAAGCCGCCAGGGAGCCAGCGCGGCGACCUAGCUGGCUGGGGCAGGGGAGGGGCCCGCCUUAUAUGGGAGCUGCGUGGGGACAAACUGUUCGGGCCCAACGCGCGGGUCUGAGAGACAGCCACGCCUGCUCCGGGUCACUCCGGCCACCUGGGGGGCGUCGGCGCGCAGACUCUGGCCAGUUCAGUAUUCAAACUCUUCAGGAGUGCUAACUUACUCAUGACAGCGAUUUUCUGUAUCGGGGUUUCAUUGGUCGGUGGUUUAGAAGGUUUUGCUCAUUCAUUCGUUAAUGUAAUUCCAACAACCUACACGUGUUUAUAAGCCCCCUUUCCAUCCACGACUUUGCUGUCUGACACAAAACGGACCAUCGCAGCCCGGCAGACGCUUUAGACAACAAACAGCAUGCCUGGAGCUUUUCAAUAGGAAGCAGUAAGGCUUGAUCAUCACAGACGAUACGGAACGGGCACUUUCUUAGCAGAAAAUAUUUCUAUUGGGGCGUGAAGGAAGUUUCUGAAAGGGAAGAUUAUUAUAAGAUAAGGGGUUUGCUCAUCUCAGACUUUAGUGUGCCUGCUUUAAAGUGUUUUGCAAACUUGAAUGUUUAAAGGAAUCACCUGGCGGUCUUGUGAAACUGCAGCUUCUAAUGGGCAAGUCAGAGGGGAAGCCUGAGACAUGGCAUUUCCAGCACGUUCGGGGAGUGAAGAUGCUGUCGGCUGCCACCCUCCCUGCAAGGAGCCAGGGGAUAGAUGACCUCUACGCAAACUGUGAGAGCUUAAAAUAACUGAUAGUGAAAAACAGUUACAGAAGCUCUAGGCCGGGCACGGUGGCUAAUGCCUGUAAUCCCAGCACUUUGGGAGGCCGAGGAGGAUGGAUUGCCAGAACUCAGGAGUUUGAGACCAGCCUGGGCAACACGGUAAAACCCUGUCUCUACGACAAAAUAAAACAAACAAAAAUAAAAGCCACGCAUGGUGGCGUGUGCUUGUAGUCCCAGCUACUCAGGAGGCUCAGGUGGGACAAUCGCUUGAGCAUGGAAGGAGGAGGUUGCAGUGAGCCAAGAUCGCACCACUGUACUCCAACCUGAGUGACAGAGUGAGACCCAAUCUCAAAAAAAAAAAAAAGCAGUAAAUCCAGGGCCCAAAAGCUCCCCUCAAUGGGAAGUAGAAUCUCUUUCUCCACCUCUUCAAUAUGGCUGGCCCUGGAACUUCCCUUGGCACACAGAAUGCAGCAGAAUUGGCUUCAUGUUGUUUCUAAGCCUUGGCCUCAGAGGCCUUGCAUGCUUCCUAACCCUGGCUCUAGGAAACUUGCUGCUGUCAUGUAAGCAAGCCCAGGCUAACCUACUGAAUGUUGGUGUGUCCCAGUCAAAUCCAGCACUGCAACCAAUAGCCAGGCAGCCACCAGACAUGUGAGUGGGGCCACCUCACACCAGCCAACCUCCACCAAGUCAUCAGAUGUAUGAGUGAGAACAGCCCAGAACAACUGAGCCCGUCCAGACCAGCGGAACAACCAAGCUGACCAGUAGACUUAGGAGCAGUAAACAGAUGAUUGUUAUGGAAGCCAUUCUGUUUAGGGUGUGUGUGUUAUUGCUUGCAUCCAAAUACAUCCUAUCUCAUCUAAUGAGAAAAGGCCCUGCUCAAGGGCUUUUGCAGCUGUAGUUGGGCGCCGGAAGUGUCUUUGUGGUCAUUUCUUACUCCAUACACGGGGAGAUCAAGGCUCAGACCAGGUAGUGUGACUGUGGACAACACUUUCCUUACCCCUCUGUGACACUUAAAUCAAUGAAGCAGAUUCACAGAAGCAUGCAUGCUCACUGAACACAGUAUUUGCAUUCCUACCUCCAAACCUUUGCUCCACCCAUGCAUCCAGUAAGAAUGCCUACUUCCCUCCUCUCCUCCAUCGAGUUCUUUCUUUGAGUUCUACCUUCCCUAGUCUUCCUCCACUGCACCAACCCACGGUGAUCCCUGUCUCUUCCAAAUGCUUUGUAACAUGGUAGGCAUCACUCACUUGUGACUCAUUGGACCAUUUUAAAACUUGGUUUUCUGUGUCUCUUUUCCAACAAAAUUACAAAUUCUUUGAGGGUAAAAGUCAGGCCUAAUAGUUCUCUGUACUCCUAGUAGUGCCAGUGUGGUAAAAAUUUAACUUGACAAUUAGCAAAACCAAUAAAUUCCUUACACUAUUCUGUUCCUGUAGGUAAUCAGUAUAUGAAUAUGGAUUCCUAUGUGAUGAUUUUCUGGUCUAUUUUGUCCCUUUUUUUUUUUUGUUACUUUAACCAGGCCAUAACAUAAAGGUUAUGCCAUUUGUUACUGUCAAGCUUAAUUAAGCCCAUUAUAAUUCGUUAACCCCUGUGCUUGCUUUGUAAUUAACAUUGAUUAACACAAACAAGUACAAAAUAGGCCAUCAGCACUUUCCAGAAGUGCUGAUUACAAUUACAUUGGUAAUUCAAUACGGUAUAGAAGAUGGCAGGAUAGUAACUUGCACUCUGUUUACAUAAGGAGACAAAUGCUACCAUGCAAAACUAAGCCAAGAAACAAAAUACUUUCCUCAUCCAACUCACUGAUUAAACCCUUACCCUGUUAACUCACCCUAUGACUGUGUAAACCUCCAGUAAGAUUAUUGAAGGCACAGCUCCAAGUAACUUGCUUAAUUGCAUUCCUGGGACAAAAGAGGGAAGCGCUUCAAAGCUGACAGACAGAUGGUAGAGUGUCCAGUCACAGCAAAGCAGGCCCCGAGGCUCAUGACAGACAACUCCAGGGCUGAGAUCUCAUUUGUAGCUCUGGGAUAAAGUCCAGGGUUUGAUGGCAGCAGGCUGAAGUGUAAAGAUGCUCAACAAUGCGCACCCCAGAGACACUGAAUCUGAAAAAGCUUAGAGUGAAUAAAAAUCUGGAAAUGAACUCUGUCUGUCUAUUCACCAUUCCCCCCAUAAAAAAAUUCCUAUAUUCCGGAUGGUGUUCAAGUUCCCUUUCCACAGGACCUCAGCAGUCAGGGAGGUGCUCCUGCAAUCUAUGUGAAGGAGAUUUCACCAUGCCCACAUGGGAAUACAGUAGAUUGCCAGUAGGGAUGCCACACCUUUGCAUUUCCUCGUAUUUCCAGGAACAAAGCUGGGGUGCCUAGGAGCUGCAGCAGUUUUUCUUCUGUGUAAAAUAAGCAAGCAGGACUCUGCCCCACUGCACUCCAGGGAAGGAUUAAGAGAAUUGAUAUCAUCCAAAUCAAUUGGCCCUGUGCAGAUGACUUGAUAAUGAGGCCAUUGAGUUUUUAUGGUUCACUAUUAUUGCUACAAAAAUUAUGCUGCAGAAAUCAUUCAAAUGCUCAAAAAGGAGCAUUAGUACGAAACUGGGUGUUCCAAAGUUGUUGCUGAGAGGUGUGUAAUGUUCCUGAAGAUCCCCAAGGCACUAAGACUUCUCUGUACAUGAAUGACUCAUAGAGAAGAAAUACACCAGAUGAAAAUAUAUGGAGAAGUUUGCCGAAUGUCAUAUAACUU